GCUGGGCACGGUGGUGCACACCUGUAAUCUCAGCUACUUGGGAGCUGAGGCAGGAGGAUCAUAAGUUGGAGGCCAGCCUUACUGAUGCCCUGUCUUAAAU
rnacentral:sRNA from 1 species